UCUGUCCAUUUCACCACAUCAGCUGCACAGUUGUUGCAAUUUGACUUUUCUGCUGCCUGCAACAGCUGCCUCUGUUAGUCGCACUUAAACCACCAAGCUCCUACACACUUGUCUAUUUUAGGUAGUGUUCCUGAAGUCUUAACACCCAAGGGAGCUGCUGGGCUGAGCAGCACUUGCCUCUGGGAUUGCCUUCUAUGUUCUCCUGUCUGAUUCCUUUGUCCAUCACUUGCAGCAGCCUGAAAUCCCUUCUGGAUAUUGCAUUCCGUGGAACUACACCAAGAUGUAUUGUAAUUGUCAGUAAUAACAGACUUGCCAAUCUCCCAGCCAGGCUCUGUCAUCUCAGUGACCUGUUCGUCUAUAAGCUAGCAUUGGAAAGAUCCAAUCUCAUUUCUUUAGUCACAGAAAAGCUUGAACCUUUUUUUUUCAAAAGAAAACAAAAUGAAUGAAAUAUAAUGUACUGAAACUAUUUGUGACAUAUUCUCGUCGGCCUUUAGGUUUGAAUUGUUUUGAGAUGGUAUGUUUGAUAAGGAAGAUGUACCUGCAAAAUCGAUACGCUGUUUUUUUUACCGUUUUGCAAGUUUCUAUUGGCUUGCUUGACUUCCUAUGAGCCAAAGUUUAAAUGAAGCGUCACGUAUAACUACCAUGACAGAAUGUAUUACUGUAUGUAACAUAAACAGCUAAUUUAUCGGCCACAAAAACUAUUUUUUGUAUUCACAGAAAUAAAAAAAAAACAGAUUUCAAAGGAAAUUCCGAGUCUCAGGCGGGGUUUUCUGCAAGUUAGCGUUGAGAAAGGAAAAGUCACUGCACUAUUGCUGGACCACGGGGGCUGCUCUCUGUCAUUAGAGAGAGAGAGAGAGAGACUACUGAUGGUGGUUUAACUUGAGGGCCACCACACCUCGGGCGAGGGGAGAGGUCGAGAAGGUUGUGACCGUUGCUCAGACCAGUGAGUUUAGGAGUUGGGAUGUCAUGUUGCAGUCAUACAGGACAUUAGUGAGCCCACCUUUGGAGUACUGCGCACAGUUCUGGUUGCCGUGCCCACAGGAAGGAUAUUAGCCAAUUGGAAAAGGUACAGAAAUGAUUAACAAGGAUUUUACUGGGACUGGAGGGUUUGAGUUAUUUGGAUAGGCUGGGACAUUUUUCUCUGGAGGUUGAGAGGUGAUCUAAUAGAAGUUUAUAAAACCAUGAGGGACAUAGAUAAAGUCAACAGCAAAGGUUCUUUUUCCCCAAAAUAGGGGAGUUCAAAACUAGAGGGCAUAAUUUUAAGGUGAGAGGAGAAAGAUUUAAAAGGAACCCGAGGGGCAACUUUUUCACACACAAGGUGGUUUGUGUGUGGGAUGAACUGCCAGAGGAAGUGGCCGUUGCAGAAACAGUUAGAAUGUUUAAGACACAUUUGAAUAGGUAUAUGAAUAGGAAAGGUUGAGAGGGAAAUGGGCCAAGAACAGGCAAAGGGGACUAAAAUUGUUUCAGAUAGUAGGAACCGCAGAUGCUGAGAUAACAAGGUGUAGAGCUGGAUGAACACAGCAGGCCAAGCAGCAUCAGAGGAGCAGGAAGGCUGACGUUUCCGGCCUAGGCCCAAAACAUCAGCCUUCCUGCUACUCUGAUACUGCAUUCAUCCAGCUCUACACUUUGUUAUCAAAGGGGACUAAUUUGGUUUUGGAAGCUUGGUCAGCAUGGACAUGUUGGAUCAGAGGGUCAGCUUUCAUGCUGUAUGUCUUUAGGUAACCUCAGGCAGUGCGCAAGUUGAACCCACAAUGGUGGUGUUACUCCCAUGUUAUGAACUAAUCAUGCAGCUAAUUGAGCCAACUGACCACUGUAGAACCGCCCUUCAUUAAGAAUUUUGAAUUAGCAUUGGAAUUAGAAGUUAGAAUUAGGAAUUAGAAUUAAUUGCCAUGUUACUCAAGUACAGGGAUAGAGGAGUACGCUGAAAGGUGUAUAAUGUCACCAUUCCUGGUGCCAUCUUGGAUACAAGGAACCUAGGUACAAAAUCUUGGGUUAAAAAGUAGAAAAAGAAAUAAGUUAAAAGCUCAAUAUUACAUUCUGCCUGCCCACUCUGACCGAGGCAAAUCCUGUGAAUCUAUUGACCCCGUGCUGUGUCAGCUUCCAGCCUGCCAACAUCUUGUUUUAAAAUUCUCACCCUGGUUUUCAAACCCCUCCACCGCCAUCUCCACCUGGGUCUACAGCCACCAUCUGAGCUGGCUGCUCUGCUCUGUUCAUUCAGAAGAUAACGCCUCAGAUGGGAGGCGCCUCUCCCUACAGUGACCCCAGACCUGGGAUAUGUGAUCUCCCAUCGGGGUCUGAUGAUGUGGAGGUGCUGCUGUUGGACUGGGGUGGGCAGGGUCAGAAAUUAUAUGAUUUCUGAUUAUUGUUAUAGUCCAACAGGUUUAUUUGAAUGAAAACACAAGCUUUCAGAGCCCAAUGAGGCAGCGAAAGGGUUACGUAGGUAAAGUACAUGACCCCCUGUGAAAUCAGAAACGGGGCUAACCAACUCUGCCGCAGAAAACAGGUUGAGGCUAAAAAUAAUGAAGGAAUUAGACAUAGUUCUUGGGGCUAAAGAGAUCAAAGGGCUUGUGGAGAAAGUGGGAACAGAGGACCAAGUUGGAUGAUCAGCCAUCGUCAUAUUAAAUGGUGGAGCAGACUGAAAGGACCAAACAAUUUACUCUUGUUCCUGUUUUCUUUGUUUCCAACAGGAAUGGUGCCUGAGCUGGGCCAAAUUCCUGGGCCCUCCCUCCGCCUCUCGCUUGCAGCAUGGAGGGUGCCCCUAAUGCCCUCACAGACUGCAGUGAUGCCUCUCUAUCCCCUCCUCAGCAGCAAUGAAGCAUAGACAACAGAACUGGAAAGGCACAGAGGGUCAGUUAGCAUCCACGGAGCAGGAAAGUCAACAUUUCGGGGAAAACCCUUCAGCCUGCUCCCCGGAUGCUGUCUGACCUGCUGUGCUUUUCCAGCUGCACAUUUAUUGACUCCAGCAUCCAGCAUCUGCGGUCCUUACUGCCUCCAAGGACAGAAAACAGACACUGACCCACAGUGGGCUCUUUCUGAGUCGCACAUGAAAUAUAAAUUAUUGGACAGUCACAUCGCACAGUCAGUCGUGUAACCUUUUGAUUGUUCCAGAAUAAUCUUUGGAUCUUUUUUAUUUCCCUCAAAAUGUGAACAUGCAGAAAGAGAGGGAAAGAAGCCUGUGAUAAGCCUAUUUCUGAACAUCAGCCAUGUGAUGGAAGUUGUGAUUGUGUGGAGUGAAGGGUAACAGCUGGCCUGGGAGGACAAUUCCCUGCUCUCUUUGGCUGGACAUCUGAAAGCCAGCACUUCUGACAAAGCAACAGCCCCUCAGCACUGCACUGUGACUGUCAGCUGCCAAGAUAGUCAAUGGAAUGGUUUAGUGGUUGGGACCAAGUCAUUAUCAUCUCUUUCAUUUUGAUCAUCAUCUCCACCGCGCCCCACUCCCCCAACAACCCUUCACUCCAUAGUGUGUUGUGUCUCAUGGUCCAUGUGUCAAUGUACCUUUAAGAGAUAUUGCAAUGAUCAUCAUUGUGUUAGAGCACAUGACCUGUGGGUGGAUAAGUGUCAUACUCCAUCUUAACCUGGAAUCAUUUCUGAGCAUGGCAUGCUACUGAAAGCAUGGUAAUCUUGCUGUUUACUGUUAGCCUGGACACUUACGUGUUUGGGAAUGUAAUAGGGCUUAAACCUUCUGCGUCAGGCGUGAAGGAGAGCCGGCCAUAAACUGAACGUGGAUAUUGAAUUGAAUUAGCUUUAUUGUCACAUAUACUCAAAUAAGCACAUCAAAAAGUUUACAGUUGCACAUUACAGCUCCACCUUAGGUGCGAAGGCACCUAAGUACAGGUACGUAAGAUCAAAUUCUUAGGAUACCGGAAAAAUUGGAAAAUGUAGAGAAAUGAAAUAGCCCAGCACUAAAGGAAUAAAUCAGAAAAAUAAAGAAGAAAGAAGUUCGGAAUGCCAGCCUUUCUGAGCCAGUCCAUGCCAGCACUUAACCUCAAGGGAACCCCCAUUGCCUUGUUGCUGCCUGCCCUGGACACACCAAUGUCGGGGCUAUGUAUGUGUGUUAUGUCUCACAGUUCAUGUGUCAGUGUACCUUUAAGAGACAUGACCAUAAUCACCAUUGUAUCAGAGUACAUGUAGGCUGGAUGGAUUGGCCGUGCUAAGUUACCGGUAGAAUUCAGGGAUGUGUAGGUUAGGUGGAUUGGCCAUGAGUAAUACAAGGCUAUAGGAUAAGGGUAUGGGUUUGGGUGGGAUGUUCUUCAGAGGGUCGGUGUGGACUUAUUGGGCCAAAUGGCCUGUUUCCACACAGUAGGGAUUCUGUUCUAUGUGACCUGUGGUAUGAAAUUCUCAGACUCCAUCUUAUCCCAGGAUCAUUCGAGCAUGGCAUGCUACUGAAAGCAUGCGAAUCUAGCAGUUUAAUGUCACCCUGGACAUGUGUUUAUGAACAUUGUAACAGUUGUAACAAAUACCUUUGGGUUUUUCUGUAUCACAAUAUCCAUGUCCAGCUUUUAAUAGUAUAUGGGAUGACAUAUGCAUUGGUGCACAAGGUAAAAAUCCCCUGUCAAAUACACAAUGUACAUCACUCCAAAUCUCUCAAAGCUUUUGAUGAUAUGAUCUUGCUAAUAAUUAUCCUAGGCCUGAGGAAGGGUCACUUAACAUGAAACGUUAACUCUGAUUUCCCUCCACAGAUGUUGCCAGCCCUGCUGAGUUUUUCCAGCAAUUUCUGUUUUUGCUUCUAAUCUCCCUGAUUUCUUUUUGAAGAAAACAUGCAGUCCAAGUUUUUUUUAGAAAGCUGCAUUUAUGUAGCAUCCCUAUGGACCUCAGAAUAUUCCAUGGUGCCAUGAAACCUUUGAAUUGUGGUCACGGUUGUGAUGGAGUAAACACAGCAGCAGAAUUGCCACGCAGCAAGAUGCUGCAGACAGCCAUGCGAUAAAAAACUGGAUAAACUGGUUUGUGAUGUCAGCUGAGAGCCAGAAGACUCUUCAAAUAGCAGACGAGGGGAGCCCUUGAGCUGAUACAGCAGGUCAGUGUCUUGGUUAAUGUAUGAUCCAAAAGGGAGCACCUUCAACUGUGUAGCAAUUUCCUUUAUUCAUUAAUGGGAUGAAGAUGUGGCUGGCCAGGCAGCAUUUAUUGCCCAUCCCCAAUUGUCCAGAGGGCAGUUCAGAGUCAAUCACAUUGCUGUGGGCCUGGAGUCACAUGAGACCAGGUGAAAAUGAAGAUCAAGAUGAUAUUCUUCAGAAAAAAGAUGGAAAACAGAUGCCUGCAAUGACAGGGCUACACUGGAAUGAUUGAGCAACUCUGGGCCAAAUCUCAGUUUCAGUUCCUGAGGGAGUGCUGAACAGUCAGACACACUAUCUCACAGAAGAGUCGUUAAAACGUAGCCUGGUCAGUUCUGGAAUGGAUGCACUGUUUCAAAGAGGAGCAGAGAUCCUGGACAAUCUCCAAAAAGAAAACCACCAAUUACAAACAUCUCAUCUUUCUGUUUGUGGGGACUUGUUGUAUGCUAAUUAGUGGCUGCAUUAUCUACGCAAUAACAUUGACUGCACCUCAACAGCCCCCAAUGAACACUGGCUGUUAAAUGAAUUGGGAUACUCUAAGGUUGUGAAAGGCACUACAUAAAUGCAAGAUCUUCCUUUUGAUUAGAUUAAGGAAUAAGGAAAAGACACUAUACAAAUGAAGGAAAAGACACAAUAUAAAUUAAGAAAAAGACACUGUAUAAAUGAAGGAAAACAUACUACAUAAAUGAAAAAAGGCACUAUAUCAAUGCAAGUUUUUCUUUUUGAUUGAAUGGUUGAAUGAAGGGAAAAACAUGAUACAAAUAAAGAAAAGGGCAUCAUAUAAAUGCUAACUUGAUUGAAUACUUAGAUAAAACUAAAGUGUUUUGAAAGGGUGUGGGAAAUGUGAUUAGAAUUAUGGCAAAUGUCAAUGUGGAUGAAUUAGCCUGUUUCUUCAUUAUUACUGCCUUCCUAUGUAUAUGUAAUUAACUCUCCUUUUUAAUGGGUUCUGCUUUUAUCUGGUUGAUGAAAUAGUUUUCGUAUUCUGUGAUAUUUCAGAAUGAAAGUCAAUACAAUCUUGGCCAAUAGUUCACGGUAAUCAGCAGCAAGACCCUCUAAUGAAAACAUCAGUGUAUUUUUGUAGUCAAAUGUCUAACAUUCUCUGAAAUUAUCUGAAAAACAUGCAGUUCAGUUUCCUUUUUGUAAAAUGCAGCCCCACCAGAUCUUUUCAUUACUUCUUCUCUCGAUAUGAAUAUCACUGGCAUGGCACCAAUUGUUUAUCCCCAAUUACCCAAGGAGAAAAUGGUGGUGAACCCCUGUGGUGGGGAUAAUUCCACAGUUUGGUUGGGGAAUGGAAUUUCAGGAUUUUGAUCUAGUGACAAUGUAGCCAUGGUGAUAUGAGUCCACAGUAGGAUAGUUUGUGACUUAGAGUCAUAGAAUGGUACAGCACAGAAACAAAUCCUUCAGACUUGGAAGGUUCCAUGAUAUCGUUGGUGUUCCUAAGUGACUGUGGUCUCUGAGAUGCUGUUUGGCCUGCUGUGUUCAUCCAGCCUCACAUUUUAUUAUCUUGGAAUUCUCCAGCAUCUGCAGUUCCCAUUAUCUCUGUGGUCUCUAUCCUUCCAGGUUUUGGAAAUUGUGGAAUUAGCAGAAUGUGAUGAAGUGUGUUCAGCGAGUUGCUGCAGUGAACACUGUGACAGCCUGUGUCAA